CCUACGGGAGGCUGCAGUGGGGAAUAUUGGACAAUGGGGGCAACCCUGAUCCAGCCAUGCCGCGUGUGUGAAGAAGGCCCUCGGGUUGUAAAGCACUUUCAGUGAGGAAGAACGCCUGGUGGUUAAUACCCAUCAGGAAAGACAUCACUCACAGAAGAAGCACCGGCUAACUCCGUGCCAGCAGCCGCGGUAAUACGGAGGGUGCGAGCGUUAAUCGGAAUUACUGGGCGUAAAGCGCGCGUAGGUGGCUUGAUAAGCCGGUUGUGAAAGCCCCGGGCUCAACCUGGGAACGGCAUCCGGAACUGGCAAGCUAGAGUGCAGGAGAGGAAGGUAGAAUUCCCGGUGUAGCGGUGAAAUGCGUAGAGAUCGGGAGGAAUACCAGUGGCGAAGGCGGCCAUCUGGACUGACACUGACACUGAGGUGCGAAAGCGUGGGUAGCAAACAGGAUUAGAUACCCGUGUAGUC
rnacentral:rRNA from 1 species